rnacentral:rRNA from 1 species
GCAUCUAAGCACGAAACUUGCCCCGAGAUGAGUUCUCCCUGACUCCUUGAGAGUCCUGAAGGAACGUUGAAGACGACGACGUUGAUAGGCCGGGUGUGUAAGCGCAGUGAUGCGUUGAGCUAACCGGUACUAAUGAACCGUGAGGCUUAACCUU